rnacentral:lncRNA from 1 species
CAGAAGCUUCCCCCGCACCCCCUCGGGCCGCGUUGCGGCAAGAGAGAGAGAGAGAGAGAGAGAGCGCACGAAAUUAAGGAGAAGGGGCUUGAAGUCUUUCACAGUGAUGGAGGCUCGGGUGGCAGCGGGUCGAGCGGGUGGAGGCUUGGGUCGUUGACGAUGGACACAGCGGCGGCAGCGGGUCGAGCGGCUCGGGCUGCGUUCGGCUUGGGCUUAGCGGCCUGAGCGGAAACGGCGGGGGAUGCGGCAGCGGCGAUGGCUGAUAGCGGCUUGGGUGGCGGCGGCAGGGUACGUGGCAGCAGCAGCGGCGGACGUGGGGGACACGGCGGCGGCGACGGCGGACGUGGGGACGCCACGACGGCGGCGGCAGCUCGCCUCUGUUAACUAACUAACUAACUAACUAACUAUAUAUAUAUAUAUAUAUAUAUAGCUCUCAUCUCCUUCUUCUUCACUUUUUUUUUAAUUUUUAAUUAUUUUUUUUUUAAUGUAAUGUGCAACUGAGUGUGAACGAUCCGCUCUCGCACCGCCCCCCAUCCGAUCGUCUAUUCCGAGCUAUUUAUAGAGCUUUGGAGGGGGUAUUAGUGGGAUGGCAUGAAUUUUGUAGAGAGAGAAAAAAAAAUAGAGAGAGAAAGAGAGAGAAAGACAGAGAAAGAGAGAGAAAGAGAGAAAGACAGAGAAAGAGAGAGAGGGGAAGAGAGAAAGAGAGGGUAGGAGAGAGGGAGAGGAGAAAGAGAGGGUAGGAGAGAGGGAGAGGAGCACCGCCUGAUCGGGGAGGGAAGAGAGAGAGAGAGAAAGUGUGGUAGUUGAAGAGAGAGACUGCCUUAGAAGAGUAGGGAAAAGAGAGAGAGAGAGACAGUUGUAGAGUUGGGUAAGAGGCCUGUCGCCACGUGGAACGGAGAACGGAGAGGUAUGCCACGUGGGUCUUGCAGAAUGUGUCAAAUAGUAUAGUUAAAAGAUAAGCUCCGAGUGUUGUGGGUGUAGCAUUUUUCUUACAUUGGAAAGUAAAUUUGGAACUGGAGGAAUUCUAUGGCUUUCCCAACAACCAUGACUACACAUUAAAUGGGGCUACAUCUUUAUCAUUGCAAUGCUACUAUGCUAGCCAAUCACGAAAGAGAGAGAGGGAGAGAGUGUAUUAAUCUAAGCUAAGACUAGACAAGAUUUCAUCCCAUCCACCGACCAAUAAAAAUAUGCUUCAUCCAGUCAAUAAAAUAGCAAAUCCUUUCUACCCACAAAUAUAUUCUUGGAUCAUUUUUAGAUUAUACUAUUCAAUUAAUUAUUUAUUUAAUCUUAAAAAAAUUAUUAUUAUUCUAACUGUAAAUCUUUUCAUUCAAUAAUCGAAAAUUUGAUAGACGAUUCUACACGAGUACAAUCUUUUUUUAGUUAAACACAAAACAAUAUCCUUAUAACAAAAAUUGUAUAAUAAUAAUAAAAAAAAAGAAAGAUCUAAACAAUAACGAAUUAAAUUAAAAAAAUUAAGAAACAGAUAAAGAAAAAUGGAAGUGGCCAAAUUUCCAAAUCCACCUCGCAACCUAUGUUGUUGCUUUUACGCAGUCAAUCUAUACAUAACAUCUACAACAAAAAAAGAAUAGAAAUUUACCUCCAAUUUUUACUCUAUCAUCUCAGAAUGAAUACGACGAAGAAGGAGACGGCGAAGAAGAAGAAGAAGAAGCAGCCGCCGCCGAUGCGGUGGCCGUGGGAGCAGAGCAACGAGAGCUCCGAUCCAAGCAGCGAAUGACCUCCGCACGGGUGGCGGCCACGCGGUGGAACACCG